rnacentral:rRNA from 1 species
UACGUAGGGCGCAAGCGUUGUCCGGAAUUAUUGGGCGUAAAGAGCUCGUAGGUGGUUUGUUACGUCCGCUGUGAAAUCCUAGGGCUUAACCCUGGGCUUGCAGUGGAUACGGGCAGACUAGAGGUAGGUAGGGGAGAAUGGAAUUCCUGGUGUAGCGGUGAAAUGCGCAGAUAUCAGGAGGAACACCGGUGGCGAAGGCGGUUCUCUGGGCCUUACCUGACACUGAGGAGCGAAAGCGUGGGGAGCGAACAGG